AACGAACGCUGGCGGCAGGCUUAACACAUGCAAGUCGAACGGUUGUAGCAAUACAGCAGUGGCGCACGGGUGAGUAACGCGUGGAUAUCUGCCUUUGGGUUCGGAAUAACUCCGGGAAACUGGAGCUAAUACCGGAUGGUUCCUACGGGAUAAAGAUUAAUCGCCAAAAGAGGAGACCGCGUACGAUUAGCUAGUUGGCGGGGUAAUGGCCCACCAAGGCGACGAUCGUUAGCUGGUCUGAGAGGACGAUCAGCCACACUGGGACUGAGACACGGCCCAGACUCCUACGGGAGGCAGCAGUGGGGAAUAUUGGACAAUGGGGGCAACCCUGAUCCAGCCAUGCCGCGUGAGUGAUGAAGGCCUUCGGGUUGUAAAGCUCUUUUGGCGGGGACGAUGAUGACGGUACCCGCAGAAUAAGCCCCGGCUAACUUCGUGCCAGCCGCCGCGGUAAGAC
rnacentral:rRNA from 1 species